rnacentral:rRNA from 1 species
UACGUAGGGGGCAAGCGUUUGUCCGGAUUUAUUGGGCGUAAAGAGCGUGUAGGCGGCUUUACAGGUCCGUUGUGAAAACUCGAGGCUCAACCUCGAGACGCCGGUGGAAACCGUAAAGCUAGAGUCCGGAAGAGGAGAGUGGAAUUCCCGGUGUAGCGGUGAAAUGCGCAGAUAUCGGGGAAGAACACCCGUGGCGAAGGCGGCUCUCUGGGACGGUACUGACGCUGAGACGCGAAAGCGUGGGGGAGCGAACAGG